rnacentral:rRNA from 1 species
AAUGGACGCUGGCGGCAUGCCUUACACAUGCAAGUCGAACGGCAGCAUGACCUAGCUUGCUAGGUUGAUGGCGAGUGGCGAACGGGUGAGUAAUGCAUCGGAACGUGCCUUUUAGUGGGGGAUAACGUAGCGAAAGUUACGCUAAUACCGCAUAUUCUCUGAGGAGGAAAGCAGGGGACCUUCGGGCCUUGCGCUAGAAGAGCGGCCGAUGUCGGAUUAGCUAGUUGGUGAGGUAAAGGCUCACCAAGGCAACGAUCCGUAGCGGGUCUGAGAGGAUGAUCCGCCACACUGGGACUGAGACACGGCCCAGACUCCUACGGGAGGCAGCAGUGGGGAAUUUUGGACAAUGGGCGCAAGCCUGAUCCAGCCAUGCCGCGUGAGUGAAGAAGGCCUUCGGGUUGUAAAGCUCUUUCGGCUGGGAAGAAAUCGCACCCUCUAAUACAGGGUGUGGAUGACGGUACCAGCAUAAGAAGCACCGGCUAACUACGUG